rnacentral:rRNA from 1 species
GAGUUUGAUCCUGGCUCAGAAUCAACGCUGGCGGCGUGCCUAACACAUGCAAGUCGAGCGCGAAAGGGGGGCAACUCCCGAGUAGAGUGGCGCACGGGUGAGUAACGCGUGGGAACCUGCCUAGUGGUAAGGAAUAACCGCGGGAAACUGCGGCUAAUACCUUAUGAGCCCUACGGGGGAAAGAUUUAUCGCCAUUAGAGGGGCCCGCGUCCGAUUAGCUAGUUGGUGAGGUAACGGCUCACCAAGGCGACGAUCGGUAGCUGGUCUGAGAGGAUGAUCAGCCACACUGGGACUGAGACACGGCCCAGACUCCUACGGGAGGCAGCAGUGGGGAGUAUUGGACAAUGGGGGCAACCCUGAUCCAGCAAUGCCGCGUGAGUGAUGAAGGCCUUAGGGUUGUAAAGCUCUUUCGACGGGGAAGAUGAUGACGGUACCCGUAGAAGAAGCCCCGGCUAACUUCGUGCCAGCCGCCGCCGU